AUGGCAACGAUCGCCAAGACUCAUGAAGAUAUCCAAGCACAGAUUCGAGAAAUUCAAGGCAAGAAGGAAGUUCUUGAUGAAGCUCAAAUAGUGGGCCUGCAUUCUACAGGUUAUUAUGACCAGGAAAUUUAUGGUGCAAGUGACAGCAGAUUUUUUGGAUAUGUGACAUCAAUUGCAGCACCGAACUUGAAGAUGAUGAGAUGACUACCAUCAUCUACAAGUUUGCUUGGUCAGAAGCCACGAUAUCAUACUCCUGUGGCAUUGCUUAAUGAUAAACCAUAGUCAGCAGAACAGUAUGAUCCAUUUGUCGAGUGUCAACCUCCAAAGAUUGUAGACUAAGAAGAUGAAUUCAAAGCAUAGGUGGACCAUGAUAAUUUCUCCAGAGCUUUCUGAUCCUUUCACAGAUGGAGGGAAGACCCCGAUCCUAAAAUGAAUGCAAGGACUUACAUGGAUGUAAUGCGAGAACAGCAUUUUAUUGAAGAAAAGGAGAAAUCAGGCAACAGCUAGCAGAAAAAACUAAAGCUGGAGAACUAAAAGUCAUCAAUGGAGCAGCAGCAUCUCAGCCUUGGUCAAAACGAAAACGGGUGCUGGGAUCAAACACCUACUGAAUCAGAUUUCUGGUCUCCCUCCUAAAAAGCUGUUAAGUUGGGAUCAAGCAGAGACCCCUGGACAUACCCCUUCCUUAAGAUGGGAUGAAACACCAGGUCAUGCAAAGGGUAGUGAGACUCCUGGAGCAACUGCAGGCUCAAAAAUAUGGGAUCCUACACCUAGCCACACACCAGCAGGAACUGCUACUUCUGGAGAAGGAAAUACACCAGGUCACGCAGCACCAGGCCAUGGUGUAAAAGCAGAUGGGAUGAGACCCCCCAACAGGAUACUCCUGGGCAUGGAAUUGGAUGGGCUGAGACUCCUCGAACAGAUACGGGAAGUGAUUCGAUUGAUGAAACCCCAACUCCUAGAGCCGGUAAAAGAAAGUCAUGUUUGGAUGAAACACCGACUAGUCAGAUGGGGGGAAGCACUCCUGUUCUGACCCAUGGAAAAACACCAAUUGGCAUACCAGCCAUGAAUAUGACUAACCCUACUCCAGGUCAGACUCUUGAACAGCUUCAGGCUUAGUGAUGGGAAAGAGAAAUUGAUGAGAGAAAUCACCCACUUUCUGCUGAAGAAUUGGAUACUGUUUUCUCAGAAGAAUAUAAAGUCCUUCCUUCUCCAACUGGUUACAUUCCUGUUCAAACUCCAGCUUGAAAGUUGACAGCUACAACAAUACCUUUGGGUGGUAUGACUGGUUUGCACAUGCAACCUGAAGAUAAAACUAUGAAAAGUGUUAAUGAUCAGCCAUCUGGAAAUCCUCCAUUUUUAAAACCUGAUGAUAUUCAGUACUUUGGUAAACUAUUGGCUGAUGCUGAUGAAUCAACACUUGGUCCAGAAGAACAGAAAGUGAGGAAAAUAAUGAAGUUGCCUUUGAAAUUUAAGAAUGGAACACCACCAAUGAGAAAGGCUGCAUUGAGUCAGAUUACUGAUGAAGCUAAAGAAUUUGGAGCUGGUCCUUUGUUUAAUCAGAUUCUUCCUCUACUGAUGUCUGCUAUACUUGAGGAUCAGGAGCAUCAUUUACUUGUGAGAGUUGUUGAUAGAAUACUGUAAAAACUUGAUGACUUAGUUCAACCAUAUGUGCACAAGAUCCUUGAAGUCAUUGAACCACUGUUAGUUGAUGAAGAUGAUUAUGCUCAAGUGGAAGGCCGAGAGAUUAUUACUAAUUUAACAAAGGCUGCUGGUCUGGCUACUAUGAUCUCCACAUGAGAGCUUCUAUAGGUAAUAUGGAUGAAUAUGUCCAUAAUACAACAACUAGAGCUUUUGCUGUUGUAGCCUCUGCCCUGGGCAUUCCUCCUUUAUUGCCCUUCUUAAAUGCCAUGUGUAAAAGCAAAAAGUCCUGGAAAGCAAGACACACUGGUAUUAAGAUUGUACAGCAGAUAGCUAUUCUUAUGGGCUGUGCCAUCUUGCCACAUCUCAGAUGUUUAGUUGAAAUCAUUGAACACUGUCUUGUGGAUGAGCAGCAGAAAGUUCAGACCAUUACUGCUUUGGCCAUUGCUACCUUGGAUGAGGCAGCAACUCCUUAUGGUAUCGAAUCUUUUGAUUCUGUGUUCAAGCCUCUAGGGAAGGGUAUCCGCCAACACAGAGGCCUGAAUUUGGCUGCUUUCUUAAAGGCCAUUGGAUAUCUUAUUCCUCUCAUGAAUGCAGAAUAUGCUAACUAUUACAUGAGAGAAAUAAUGUUAAUUCUUAUUCGAGAAUUCCAGUCUCCCGAUGAGGAAAUGAAGAAAAUUGUGCUGAAGGUGGUAAAACAGUGUUGUGGGACAGAUGGUGUAGAAGCAAACUAUAUUAAAACAGAGAUUUUUCCUCCUUUUUUAAAAUACUUCUGGCAACACAGAAUGGCUUUGAAUAGAGGUAAUUACCAACAGUUAGUUGAUACCACUGUGGAGUUGGCCAACAAAGUAGGUGCAGCAGAAAUUAUAUCCAGGAUAGUGGAUGAGCUGAAAGAUGAAACUGAACAAUACAGAAAAAUGAUGAUGAAGACAACUGAGAAAAUGAUGGGCACCUUGGGAGAAGCAGAUAUAAACUUGAAGAACAACUGAUUGGUGAUAUUCUUUAUGCUUUCCAAGAAUAGAUGACAGAGGACUCAGUACUGUUCAGUGGCUUUGGCACAGUGGUAAAUGCUCUUGGCAAAUGAGUCAAACCAUACUUGCCUCAGAUCUGUGGUACAGUUUUGUGACAUUUAAAUAACAAAUCAGCAAAAGUUAGGCAGCCAACUUGCUAUCCCAAACUGCUGUUGUCAUGAAGACUUGUCAAGAGGAAAAAUUGAUGGGGCACUUGGGUGUUGCAUGAGUAUUUGGGUGACGAGCACCCCUAAGUAUUGGGCAGCAUUCUUAAAGCACUGGAGUCCAUUAUGCAUGUUACAGGUAUGCAUAAGAUGACCCCACCAAUUAAAGAUCUGCUACCUAGACUCACCGCCAUCUUAAACAACAAGCAUGAAAAAGUACAAGAGAAUUAUAUUGAUCUCGUUGGAUGUAUUGCUGACAGGGGAGCUGAGUAUGUAUCUGCAAGACAAUGGAUGAGGAUUUGCUUUGAGCUUUUAUAGCUCUUUAAAGCUUACAAAAACUAUUCAUAGGACCACAGUCAACACUUUUGUUUAUAUUGCAAGGGCCAUUGGUCCUCAUGAAGUAUUGGCUACGCUUCUAAACAACCUCAAAGUUUAGGAAGGGCAGAACAGAGUUUGUACCACUGUAGCAAUAGCUAUUAAUGCAGAAACAUGUUCACCUUUCACAGUACUCCCAGCUUUAAUGAAUGAAUACAGAGUUCCUCAACUGAAUGUUCAAAGUGAAGUGUUAAAAUCAUUUUCCUUCUUGCUUGAAUAUAUUGGUGAAAUGGGAGAGGACUACAUUUAUGCUGUAACACCUUUACUUGAAGAUGCUUUAAUGGUACACAGGCAGAUCACUAGUUUGGUAGUGCAACACCAGUCGCUUGGAGUUUUUGGAUUUGGUUGUGAAGAUUCACUGAAUAACGUGUUGAACUAUGUAUGGCCCAAUGUGUUUGAGACAUCUCCUCAUGUAAUUCAGGCAGUUAUGGGAGCCUUGGACGGCCUGAGAGUUGCUAUUGGACCAUGUAGAAUAUUGCAGUUUUGUUUACAGGGUUUGUUUCACCCAGCCUGAAAAGUCAGAGAUGUAUACUGGAAAAUUUCCAAUUUCAUCUACAUUGGUUCCCAGGACAGUCUCAUAGCACAUUACCCAAGAAUCUACAAUGAUGGCAAUAACAUCUAUAUUCAUUACAAACUUGACUAUAUCUUAUAA